CAGCCGCCGCGGUAAUACAGAGGGUGCGAGCGUUAAUCGGAAUUACUGGGCGUAAAGCGCACGCAGGCGGUCUGUCAAGUCGGAUGUGAAAUCCCCGGGCUCAACCUGGGAACUGCAUUCGAAACUGGCAGGCUAGAGUCUUGUAGAGGGGGGUAGAAUUCCAGGUGUAGCGGUGAAAUGCGUAGAGAUCUGGAGGAAUACCGGUGGCGAAGGCGGCCCCCUGGACAAAGACUGACGCUCAGGUGCGAAAGCGUGGGGAGCAAACAGGAUUAGAUACCCGCGUAGUCCCUGUCUCUUAUAC
rnacentral:rRNA from 1 species